rnacentral:rRNA from 1 species
UACGUAGGGGGCAAGCGUUGUCCGGAAUCAUUGGGCGUAAAGCGCGUGUAGGCGGCCCGGUAAGUCCGCUGUGAAAGUCGGGGGCUCAACCCUCGAAUGCCGGUGGAUACUGUCGGGCUAGAGUGCGGAAGAGGCGAGUGGAAUUCCUGGUGUAGCGGUGAAAUGCGCAGAUAUCAGGAGGAACACCAAUUGCGAAGGCAGCUCGCUGGGACGUGACUGACGCUGAGACGCGAAGGCCAGGGGAGCAAACGGG